rnacentral:rRNA from 2 species
UUAAGCGACUAAGCGUACACGGUGGAUGCCCUGGCAGUCAGAGGCGAUGAAGGACGUGCUAAUCUGCGAUAAGCGUCGGUGAGGUGAUAUGAACCGUUAUAACCGGCGAUUUCCGAAUGGGGAAACCCAGUGUGUUUCGACACACUAUCAUUAACUGAAUCCAUAGGUUAAUGAGGCGAACCGGGGGAACUGAAACAUCUAAGUACCCCGAGGAAAAGAAAUCAACCGAGAUUCCCCCAGUAGCGGCGAGCGAACGGGGAGGAGCCCAGAGCCUGAAUCAGUGUGUGUGUUAGUGGAAGCGUCUGGAAAGGCGUGCGAUACAGGGUGACAGCCCCGUACACAAAAAUGCACAUAUUGUGAGCUCGAUGAGUAGGGCGGGACACGUGGUAUCCUGUCUGAAUAUGGGGGGACCAUCCUCCAAGGCUAAAUACUCCUGACUGACCGAUAGUGAACCAGUACCGUGAGGGAAAGGCGAAAAGAACCCCGGCGAGGGGAGUGAAAAAGAACCUGAAACCGUGUACGUACAAGCAGUGGGAGCCUCUUAAUGGGGUGACUGCGUACCUUUUGUAUAAUGGGUCAGCGACUUAUAUUCUGUAGCAAGGUUAACCGAAUAGGGGAGCCGAAGGGAAACCGAGUCUUAACUGGGCGUUAAGUUGCAGGGUAUAGACCCGAAACCCGGUGAUCUAGCCAUGGGCAGGUUGAAGGUUGGGUAACACUAACUGGAGGACCGAACCGACUAAUGUUGAAAAAUUAGCGGAUGACUUGUGGCUGGGGGUGAAAGGCCAAUCAAACCGGGAGAUAGCUGGUUCUCCCCGAAAGCUAUUUAGGUAGCGCCUCGUGAAUUCAUCUCCGGGGGUAGAGCACUGUUUCGGCAAGGGGGUCAUCCCGACUUACCAACCCGAUGCAAACUGCGAAUACCGGAGAAUGUUAUCACGGGAGACACACGGCGGGUGCUAACGUCCGUCGUGAAGAGGGAAACAACCCAGACCGCCAGCUAAGGUCCCAAAGUCAUGGUUAAGUGGGAAACGAUGUGGGAAGGCCCAGACAGCCAGGAUGUUGGCUUAGAAGCAGCCAUCAUUUAAAGAAAGCGUAAUAGCUCACUGGUCGAGUCGGCCUGCGCGGAAGAUGUAACGGGGCUAAACCAUGCACCGAAGCUGCGGCAGCGACACUAUGUGUUGUUGGGUAGGGGAGCGUUCUGUAAGCCUGUGAAGGUGGCCUGUGAGGGUUGCUGGAGGUAUCAGAAGUGCGAAUGCUGACAUAAGUAACGAUAAAGCGGGUGAAAAGCCCGCUCGCCGGAAGACCAAGGGUUCCUGUCCAACGUUAAUCGGGGCAGGGUGAGUCGACCCCUAAGGCGAGGCCGAAAGGCGUAGUCGAUGGGAAACAGGUUAAUAUUCCUGUACUUGGUGUUACUGCGAAGGGGGGACGGAGAAGGCUAUGUUGGCCGGGCGACGGUUGUCCCGGUUUAAGCGUGUAGGCUGGUUUUCCAGGCAAAUCCGGAAAACCAAGGCUGAGGCGUGAUGACGAGGCACUACGGUGCUGAAGCGACAAAUGCCCUGCUUCCAGGAAAAGCCUCUAAGCAUCAGGUAACAUCAAAUCGUACCCCAAACCGACACAGGUGGUCAGGUAGAGAAUACCAAGGCGCUUGAGAGAACUCGGGUGAAGGAACUAGGCAAAAUGGUGCCGUAACUUCGGGAGAAGGCACGCUGAUAUGUAGGUGAAGCGACUUGCUCGUGGAGCUGAAAUCAGUCGAAGAUACCAGCUGGCUGCAACUGUUUAUUAAAAACACAGCACUGUGCAAACACGAAAGUGGACGUAUACGGUGUGACGCCUGCCCGGUGCCGGAAGGUUAAUUGAUGGGGUUAGCGGCAACGCGAAGCUCUUGAUCGAAGCCCCGGUAAACGGCGGCCGUAACUAUAACGGUCCUAAGGUAGCGAAAUUCCUUGUCGGGUAAGUUCCGACCUGCACGAAUGGCGUAAUGAUGGCCAGGCUGUCUCCACCCGAGACUCAGUGAAAUUGAACUCGCUGUGAAGAUGCAGUGUACCCGCGGCAAGACGGAAAGACCCCGUGAACCUUUACUAUAGCUUGACACUGAACAUUGAGCCUUGAUGUGUAGGAUAGGUGGGAGGCUUUGAAGUGUGGACGCCAGUCUGCAUGGAGCCGACCUUGAAAUACCACCCUUUAAUGUUUGAUGUUCUAACGUUGGCCCGUAAUCCGGGUUGCGGACAGUGUCUGGUGGGUAGUUUGACUGGGGCGGUCUCCUCCUAAAGAGUAACGGAGGAGCACGAAGGUUGGCUAAUCCUGGUCGGACAUCAGGAGGUUAGUGCAAUGGCAUAAGCCAGCUUGACUGCGAGCGUGACGGCGCGAGCAGGUGCGAAAGCAGGUCAUAGUGAUCCGGUGGUUCUGAAUGGAAGGGCCAUCGCUCAACGGAUAAAAGGUACUCCGGGGAUAACAGGCUGAUACCGCCCAAGAGUUCAUAUCGACGGCGGUGUUUGGCACCUCGAUGUCGGCUCAUCACAUCCU